GGGGCAGUCUUACAUGCAGUCGAAACGGGGAUGCAUUUUCGAGGUGAUUAGUUUACUAAGAGCCAAGAUGUUGGCAUCCUAUUGGCGGACGGGUGAGUAACGCGUGGGUAACCUGCCUUACACAGGGGGAUAACACUUAGAAAUAGGUGCUAAUACCGCAUAAGCGCACGGGGCUGCAUGGCCCAGUGUGAAAAACUCCGGUGGUAUAAGAUGGACCCGCGUCUGAUUAGCUUGUUGGCGGGGUAACGGCCCACCAAGGCGACGAUCAGUAGCCGGCCUGAGAGGGUGGACGGCCACAUUGGGACUGAGACACGGCCCAAACUCCUACGGGAGGCAGCAGUGGGGAAUAUUGGACAAUGGGGGGAACCCUGAUCCAGCGACGCCGCGUGAGUGAAGAAGUAUUUCGGUAUGUAAAGCUCUAUCAGCAGGGAAGAAAGAAAUGACGGUACCUGACUAAGAAGCCCCGGCUAACUACGUGCCAGCAGCCGCGGUAAUACGUAGGGGGCAAGCGUUAUCCGGAUUUACUGGGUGUAAAGGGAGCGUAGACGGUUACGCAAGUCUGGAGUGAAAGGCGGGGGCCCAACCCCCGGACUGCUUUGGAAACUGUAUAACUGGAGUGCAGGAGAGGUAAGUGGAAUUCCUAGUGUAGCGGUGAAAUGCGUAGAUAUUAGGAGGAACACCAGUGGCGAAGGCGGCUUACUGGACUGUAACUGACGUUGAGGCUCGAAAGCGUGGGGAGCAAACAGGAUUAGAUACCCUGGUAGUCCACGCCGUAAACGAUGAUCACUANGUGUCGGUGGGUAUGGGCCCAUCGGUGCCGCAGCAAACGCAUUAAGUGAUCCACCUGGGG
rnacentral:rRNA from 1 species